GUGAGCGGCUGGGUUGCAGGCGCUGCGGGACAUGGGAGGGGAAGGCGUUGAGGGAAAAGAGGGAGAGAAGCUACCGGAAGGAGGCGCGACGCUGAGGAGGUAAGGAUCGGGGCGCAGCGGAGAAGGAGACCUCCCAGGGAGCAGCCCCCGUUCGAAAGGAGCCCCUGGCCGACGCCUGGGGUCGCAGGCAGUGCCCGCCGUGGGCCGAGAGCCGGGGACCCCCGCGGGGCGCGCCUGCCCACCCAGCGGCCGGGCCGAGGGACGGGCUCCCUUGGACAGCCCUGCGGGGAGCGAGUCGGGACACUGCAUGCAAGGAGCAAGCGGGAAGCGAGUGCGCCCUGCACAGAACCGGAGGAUCCUACGGUUGGCGAAGACCUGCGGCAUUGGUCCUUUGGGGCGGGAGCCCAGGUGUGGCCCCCCAGAGAGGAGAGGGGUCCUGGAGGCCGGGGGCCUGCACCUCCCAGAGGUUGCAGCCCGAGGGGAAGGGGAGGAGAGCGGCAGGCACGGUGCCCGGAGAGGCUGUGGCUGUGCAGUGAGAAGUGCUUUGACCCCAAGACGCCCCCCCACAGGAAUGACUUUCCGACCAAGGGGCUCCCCUCCAGGGGAGAGGACCCCUGAUCCACAAAGGCUUAUGGGCACCUCCUGCGUAGGGUGGGGCAGGCUGGCAGUGGCAGGGUCCCGAUCUCCAGAGCCUCACCGCCUAGAGGGAGGGAGGUGAGCCAGCAGAGGGGCACAGAGGAUGGGGGCCAGGGUUGCGGGGGCCGGCAUCCGAGGACAGCUAUCCCACCCGCAGGACAGAGAGUGGAUUGGCCUCAGAGAGAGCCACCUGGGUUAGGUGAUGCAGGUAGUGAUGGACCCUCCAGAGCCUGCUUAGGGCUGCACGCUGUUCUGGCCCACAAGCCGCAUCUCCACCUUCUCUCAGAGCCCUCUCAUUUGUCCCAAAGCGCCAGGUAAAUGGAAACCCAGCAUCACCACAAAAAGCAUUGUCCCCAAGAGGACAGCAGCGUCCCCUCUUCAGGGGAAAGACUGCAUAGAAACGUGUCUCCAGCCUUGAGGUUGUGAUUCCCUGUUAACAAAGGCCCUCUUCCAUGGGAGCCAGACCAUGAGCCAGCCUCCACGCAGGGCAGGCUGUGAUGGCAGGGCUCCAGGCGUCAGGUGCUGGGGUCCACAGCCUUCUAAGAUGACCCAAUGACCCCUCCGGUGUUCACACCCUUGUGUAGUCCCCUCCCCCUGAGUGUGGGCUACCUGGUGGCCGGCUUCUACUCAACCUAAGAAAGCAAAGGGGAUGGGAUGGACCUCUGUUACCUUCUUGGCUCGCACAUAUUCGUGAAGCAAGCUGCCAUGUUGCAGAGGCCCACAUGGCCAACAGCCAGUGAGCAUCAGAGGCUCUCAACCCAACAGCCACAAAGAACUGAAUCCUGCCUACACCACACGAGCUUGGCAGCGGAUCCCUCCUCAGUCCAGCUUCAGGGAACUUUCAGAGUCACAGACCCCGUGGACACUGGCCCACAGAGGCUCCCACCCUUCUCUCCUGCAGUGGAAGAUGGACUACAGUCAGGAGCCAGGGAUCAAGAAGGGAGAGGACGGGUGAUCUUGCUGGAACGCUGUGGAGAAGGCUGGCGACCAUCGGCUGUGGACUCUCACCCCUGCCUCCAGCCCUCAGCUUCCUUCACGGAACUGACGUCUGCUGGGGUUCCCACCAAGCACUGACACGUGCCGGGCCGUGUGCUAAGCACCUGGGGACAUGACCUCAUUUGAGGGCCACAACAUGCUCACAGGGAGGCUCAAGGGACCGCUCCAGGGCCCUCAGCGUGGAGCCAGGACCUGGUUUCCUGGGAACACAGCCGGGCCCAAUGGUUCAGCUGUCCGUGGCCGCCCUCGCACUACAACGGUGGAGUUGAAGAGCUGCGGAAGAGAUCUGCAAAGCCUAAGAAAUAUUCACAUCUGGCCCCUCACAGAGGAGUUUGCUGACCCCCGGCCUAGACUCACAGCCAGCACCCGUGGCUUUUCUGAAUAUAAAUCAAAGUCCCAGGCAAAGACCAGAACACAUUCUGGUUUCAGCUUCUCUGCGCCGCCCCUACAGCCUCACCGUCUGAGCUCCAGCAGUAGCGCACACUCACUUCUUUCGCUUCCUCAAAGUGCGGUGCCAUGCCUGCCCCAGGGCCUGUGCACAUGCUAUGCCCUCUGUCUAGAAAACUUUGCCUGGCUGACUCCUACUAAACCCCUCAGGUUCCACCUUCCUGUCUCAGAGCAUCCUCGACUUGUCCCUUAGGAUACCCGUCACCACUAAUGAGAGUACAUCCCUCAGAUAAUUGCUUAGUGCCAGUCUGUCCUGCAGGACUUGAAGCUUCCGAAGGCAGGGGCUGUGAGAACGCCUGCUGUAUCCCCAGCCCGUAGCCAGAACAGGGGCUCAAUAAGAUCUGCUCAAUGCAGUUACUCUUUGCAUGCUUUGUUUAUUGAAAACAUAUCUGAAAAUUAAGUGUAAUGCCAAAUACAAUUCCGACACCUCAGGGACUCCAUGACUCCAUCAUCCAGCCUGUGCCAGCACACACUGUCCAACGGCCUGACCGGGCAGCACAGGGCAGAGGAAAAUCUUGGAUCCGUGGUCAGAAAGCCUGGGCUCAGAUUCGCCCGCUGCCAUUGACUAUGGGACGUCAUGAAAAUCAAAGUCUUAAUUUUUCAACUAUGAGGCUAUGAGAACAUCUUAGAAAUCCAUUGUGAGGAUUGGAUGAGACAGUGUGUCAAAGAACUCUGAAAAUUACAAAAAGGCACCCAAACGUCAGCUGUCACUAUGACCUCCCGUUUGGCUUACUGUAAAAACCCGAUUUUUUCUCUUUCCUUCCCUUCCUCUCUCUGUCCUACACAAGCCCAAAACUCUGAUCUUAAAUCCAGCUCGGGCCACUCACUGGGCACACGAGCACAGCGUACUGGGAGCAGGUGCCAGGCAAAGGAACAGGCGGAGAGGGCGUGGAGCCCUGCAGAAUCUGUAGGCCCCCUUCAAGUGCUCUGGGCACUGGGGCCCAGCCCACCGUCCCUGUCCCCGUAGAUGUUCACUGUGCCUGUUGCCCUGCUGCUCAAAUCAACUUUGCAUCUUGAGAUGCCCUUCCUCCAAUCCCUGUUUGCUGGAAUUUAACCCACUCUUUAAGAACUCAUGGUUCCUCCUCUUAGUAAUUACUGAGGAUUUUUGUGUUACUAAACACUUUACACGCCUUCUUUCAUUUUAUUGUCCCAGCACUCCUAAAAGGUAGAAGUUAUUACCAUCCACAUUCUAUAGACAAGAAACCUGAGGCCCAGAGAGGUAAGCUCGUCAUGGGAAGCUGAGACUCGACCCUCAGCCCCAGCUCACAGCCAGUUCUCUGAGUCAUAGCACUGGCCCUCACUCAGACACCACCUUCUUUUCCCAGCAUCUCCAACGGAACGGCAUUUCCUCACCCUGAGAACCGCUGAGCCCUUGUUUCUAUCUCGUUUAUGGCACUCACCAAAUUCUGCUUUGCUAUUAUAGCUAUUUUUAUUUGUCUUAGGCCUAACAUUAAACUGCGAGCUCCUGAGGGGUAGGCUCUAUUUCUCUCUUCACAUUUCGGCAGCCCAAUGAGCUGUGUGUAGCAAGCGCUCAGUCAAUAUUUAUCAACUGAACAUGAACAGCAGCUUGGGCAGAAUGAUAUGAAAUAUGGAGCAGCUGACUAAACACUGUCAGCUCCAAGCAGAACAAGGUGGCUGGAAGAAGGGCCAGCCUGAGCCCACUGCCCAAUGACAGGCCACUAACGCAUACUGCUUCUAAUACAGACACAAGGAAAGGGAAACAACUCUCCUCCAGCCACACCAACUCCCAUGGUUACUGACAUCCUUCAGUGUGAGGCGUAACUGCUGGUGAUUCCAACGCCCUCUUGGGGAUGCAGUCCGCACCUCUCUGUGGCCUCUUCUCCAAUGAUCUGGUACUCUGUCCCUGCCCCUGCCACUGUCUCCCUGGGUCACAGCCUAGACUCUUCAUGACCAGCAAGACCCACGUCUGCUGCAUUUCAAGCAGCUUCCUCUCUGUGCGGCCCUAGUCUUUCUAGCUCUGGCAAGGAGGAGCCCUGACUCCAACAAGCUACGGCUCACACCUCCCUGUAAUCUACUGACUCUGCCCUUGCCUCAUUCUCCUCUGUAGCCCACUGAGACUCCAUGGCCCCAUCAUUCAGCCACUCCUCUGCACGCACCCCAACCCCGCUGCCUCGCCCCAGCUCCUUCACACUUGCUUAAUGAAACCACAGUGCUGGCCGAGUCCAACUCCCUGACUGUUCCAAGCCUGCACUGUCCCGCCGAGCGGGGCAGGAGCAUGACACACAAUCAGGGCCACCACCUCCCUUUACAUCCAUGUAGGCCCCUGACACUGCCAAGGAAUUACUCCCACCUCCCUUCAGUCUCAUCUCCUCCCUCAUACCUCCAACGGCUCCCUCCUACUCUCAUGUAGCUGAUGACCGAAGAGGACAGAAGCCACAAGAGAACAUUCACAAGCCCCACCUGCCCCACAUCUCCUGUCCACACACUCCACUGGGCGUCAGGUCCUGUCCUCCCAGCCAUCACUAGGCUUUGCCCCAGCUCUUCUUCCCUUCCCUGCAGCAGUGUGGACCUCCUCACACAUCCACCACAUCACAGAUCCUGCAGGGUGCUACCUGCCCAUCCAUCUGGACUCUGACCACCUCUCAUCCAGCUCUGCCACCACCCAGGUCUGAGCUCCCCCAACUGUCACCUAAAUCUCUGCAAAGCCCCAGCUGGCCUCCCUCUGUCCUGUCCAGUCUCUUCCCAGCACCUGGCGAUGGCAAGUCCCAGCACGUCACCCCCUCGGAACCCUGUGAUGGCCUCCCAAGGUCAGUGGCACAGCCCCUUGCUUCCUGCCCUAUUCUGUCCCCUCUUUGCCCCCUACUCCCGACCCCUCCACACUUCCCUGUCCUGCAGAGUCCACACAUCUUUCUCAUUUGUUUGGUUUCCUGUUGAUUCCCGCCACCCCUGCAGUAGAAUGAGAGCACUGGAGGGUGGGAUUCUUGUCUGUUUUACUCAGGAUCCCCAGUGCCGAGGACAGUGCCUGUCCCAUAGAAGAUGCUCAAUAAAUCCUUGCUGAAUGAAAACGAAAGAAAAAAACAUGCUUGGAAAGUGUUUCAUAGGAAAUUGGGCAGUGAAGUGAGGCUCAGCUGUGUUCUGAAAGGACAGAUCGUACCUUGGCACGCUCUUCCCUUUCAGCAGCAUCUUUUGAGAAAGCAAAGAACUCCAAUCUGCUUAGCUCUGAUCGAUCAGAAACCAAA